GACGAACGCUGGCGGCGUGCUUAACACAUGCAAGUCGAACGGAAAGGCCCUGCUUUUGUGGGGUGCUCGAGUGGCGAACGGGUGAGUAACCCGUGAGUAACCUGCCCUCGACUUUGGGAUAACUUCCGGAAACUGGGGCUAAUACCGGAUAGGAGCUCCUGCUGCAUGGUGGGGGUUGGAAAGUUUCGGCGGUUGGGGAUGGACUCGCGGCUUAUCAGCUUGUUGGUGGGGUAGUGGCUUACCAAGGCUUUGACGGGUAGCCGGCCUGAGAGGGUGACCGGCCACAUUGGGACUGAGAUACGGCCCAGACUCCUACGGGAGGCAGCAGUGGGGAAUAUUGCACAAUGGGCGGAAGCCUGAUGCAGCAACGCCGCGUGCGGGAUGACGGCCUUCGGGUUGUAAACCGCUUUCGCCUGUGACGAAGCGUGAGUGACGGUAAUGGGUAAAGAAGCACCGGCUAACUACGUG
rnacentral:rRNA from 1 species